CCCGGCUUGUAAAGAGUCAAACUCUAAAAUAUUUAAAGAGAUUUAUUUUGAGCCAAAUGUGAGGUCUGUGACCUUUGGCACAGCCCUAAGAAGUUCUGAGCACAUGCCCAAGGUUUACAGCUGGAGCGUUCACAUUUCAGGCAGUCAGCAGGUACAGGCAGACAUAAAUCAGUAAAUGUAAGCCGUCCAUUGGUUCAGCCCAGAAAGGCGGGACUAGGGAAGCUUCCAGGUCACAGGCGGCUUCAAAGGUUUUCUGAAUUGGUUGAAAGAGUUGAGUUGUAUCUAAAGAUGUGGAAUCAACAAAAGGAAUGUCUGGGUUAGCAUAGGGGUUGUGAAGAUCAAGGUUUUUCUUAUGCAGAUGAAGCUUCAGGGAGCAGGCUUCAGAGACAAUAGGCUGUGUUUCUUAUCAGACUUAAAAAGGUGCCAGACUUUUAGUUAAUUCUCUCCUGGAUCGGAGAAAAGACCUGGAAAGGGAAAGGGAUUCUCUACAGAAUGCAGAUGUUCCCCACGAGAGACGGCUCUGCAGGGCCAUUUCAAAAUAUGGCAAAGAAAUACAGUUUGAGGUAACACACUUCCAUUUCUCUCAGAGCCUGCUGUUUGCCACGUGAUGCUGCUGUUUGCCACGUGAUGCUGCUGUUUGCCACGUGAUGCUGCUGUUUGCCACGUGAUGCUGCUGUUUGCCACGUGAUGCUGCUGUUUGUUUGCCACGUGAUGCUGCUGUUUGUUUGCCACGUGAUGAUGAUGCUGCACGAGCGGAAGAUUGGAACUGGGUGUCCUAUUGCUACAAAGAGUCUGUUUCUUCUUCAGAUCUCCGUUUUUAUGGCAGUGCUGCUCUGUUGUGCCUGAACUCCAAAGGGAGGAGGGUGUGAUGACGUCAAGUAUCAAAGGCAACAAUAUUGCACCCCUUUCCCAUGAUUCUUCCCUCAGGCUGGGCUGCCCACGUGCGCAGUGCCCUCCUCACCGUGGGAAGUGAGCGUGCACCGUGUUUGGGAAGUUGUACGCAUGCGCAUCUGUGGGAAGUUAGUUGUACGCAUGCGCAUCUGUGGGAAGUUAGUUGUACGCAUGCGCAUCUGUGGGAAGUUAGUUGUACGCAUGCGCAUCUGAGGCUUUGCGUUUCCUUUUCCAGUGGAGUGUCCCGAAAGGUCAUACUCCGCCAUUUUGUCUCUUCAUGUGCACCCCUGGGAAGUUGUUUCUCCCUGGCACUUGUGUUCAAUUAACGCUUCAGUGCAGUAGGUGUGGACAUCAGGAAAUGGCAUCUCCCUGGCACCAGCUGCCAAGUUACCAGUUUUAGAGAGGGAAUGUGAUCAUUGCUGAGCCAUCACCUGACAGUCCCAGUGUAUGGUGGAGAGCCCUCUCCUGCCCCCACUCAUGCCUGCCUGACUACCUGUAACACUUUCCGCUCUAUGAAUUUGACUCUUCUAGGGGACCUCAUGGGAGUGGAAUCGUACAAUCUUUGUUCUUUUGUGGCUGGCUUAUUUCACUUAGCACAAUGUCUUCCAGAUUCAAUAACCAACUUAGAGUGUGUGUCAGAAUUUCUUCCUGUAUUUCGACGGUUUGUUAGGCGUGUAAAUGUUUACUAAUGUAUCUUCAGUGUGUGUCAGAAUUUCUUCCUGUAUUUCGGCGGUUUGUUAGGUGUGUAAAUGUUUACUAAUGUAUCUUCAGUGUGUCAGAAUUUCUUCCUGUAUUUCGGUGUUUUGUUAGUAGGUGUGUAAAUGUUUACUGAUGUAUCUUCAGUGUGUGUCAGAAUUUCUUCCUGUAUUUUGGUGGUUUGUUAGUAGGUGUGUAAAUGUUUACUAAUGUAUCUUCUUCAGUGCGUGUCAGAAUUUCUUCCUGUAUUUCGACGGUUUGUUAGGUGUGUAAAUGUUUACUAAUGUAUCUUCAGUGUGUGUCAGAAUUUCUUCCUGUAUUUCGGCGGUUUGUUAGGUGUGUAAAUGUUUACUAAUGUAUCUUCAGUGUGUCAGAAUUUCUUCCUGUAUUUCGGUGUUUUGUUAGUAGGUGUGUAAAUGUUUACUGAUGUAUCUUCAGUGUGUGUCAGAAUUUCUUCCUGUAUUUUGGUGGUUUGUUAGUAGGUGUGUAAAUGUUUACUAAUGUAUCUUCUUCAGUGCGUGUCAGAAUUUCUUCCUGUAUUUCGACGGUUUGUUAGGUGUGUAAAUGUUUACUAAUGUAUCUUCAGUGUGUGUCAGAAUUUCUUCCUGUAUUUCGGCGGUUUGUUAGGUGUGUAAAUGUUUACUAAUGUAUCUUCAGUGUGUGUCAGAAUUUCUUCCUGUAUUUCGGUGUUUUGUUAGUAGGUGUGUAAAUGUUUACUAAUGUAUCUUCUUCAGUGCGUGUCAGAAUUUCUUCCUGUAUUUCGACGGUUUGUUAGGUGUGUAAAUGUUUACUAAUGUAUCUUCAGUGUGUGUCAGAAUUUCUUCCUGUAUUUCGGCGGUUUGUUAGGUGUGUAAAUGUUUACUAAUGUAUCUUCAGUGUGUGUCAGAAUUUCUUCCUGUAUUUCGGUGUUUUGUUAGUAGGUGUGUAAAUGUUUACUAAUGUAUCUUCUUCAGUGUGUGUCAGAAUUUCUUCCUGUAUUUCGAAGGUUUGUUAGUAGGUGUGUAAAUGUUUACUAAUGUAUCUUCAGUGUGUGUCAGAAUUUCUUCCUGUAUUUCGGCGGUUUGUUAGUAGGUGUGUAAAUGUUUACUAAUGUAUCUUUAGUGUGUGUCAGAAUUUCUUCCUGUAUUUUGGUGGUUUGUUAGUAGGUGUGUAAAUGUUUACUAAUGUAUCUUCUUCAGUGUGUGUCAGAAUUUCUUCCUGUAUUUCGAAGGUUUGUUAGUAGGUGUGUAAAUGUUUACUAAUGUAUCUUCAGUGUGUGUCAGAAUUUCUUCCUGUAUUUCGGCGGUUUGUUAGUAGGUGUGUAAAUGUUUACUAAUGUAUCUUCAGUGUGUGUCAGAAUUUCUUCCUGUAUUUUGGUGGUUUGUUAGUAGGUGUGUAAAUGUUUACUAAUGUAUCUUCUUCAGUGUGUGUCAGAAUUUCUUCCUGUAUUUCGACGGUUUGUUAGUAGGUGUGUAAAUGUUUACUAAUGUAUCUUCUUCAGUGCGUGUCAGAAUUUCUUCCUGUAUUUCGACGGUUUGUUAGUAGGUGUGUAAAUGUUUACUAAUGUAUCUCCUUCAGUGCAUGUCAGAAUUUCUUCCUGUAUUUCGGUGUUUUGUUAGUAGGUGUGUAAAUGUUUACUAAUGUAUCUUCUUCAGUGUGUGUCGGAAUUUCUUCCUGUAUUUCGACGGUUUGUUAGUAGGUGUGUAAAUGUUUACUAAUGUAUCUUCAGUGUGUGUCAGAAUUUCUUCCUGUAUUUCGGCGGUUUGUUAGUAGGUGUGUAAAUGUUUACUAAUGUAUCUUCUUCAGUGCGUGUCAGAAUUUCUUCCUGUAUUUCGACGGUUUGUUAGUAGGUGUGUAAAUGUUUACUAAUGUAUCUCCUUCAGUGCGUGUCAGAAUUUCUUCCUGUAUUUCGGUGUUUUGUUAGUAGGUGUGUAAAUGUUUACUAAUGUAUCUUUAGUGUGUGUCAGAAUUUCUUCCUGUAUUUUGGUGGUUUGUUAGUAGGUGUGUAAAUGUUUACUAAUGUAUCUUCUUCAGUGUGUGUCAGAAUUUCUUCCUGUAUUUCGGUGUUUUGUUAGUAGGUGUGUAAAUGUUUACUAAUGUAUCUUCUUCAGUGUGUGUCGGAAUUUCUUCCUGUAUUUCGACGGUUUGUUAGUAGGUGUGUAAAUGUUUACUAAUGUAUCUUCAGUGUGUGUCAGAAUUUCUUCCUGUAUUUCGGCGGUUUGUUAGUAGGUGUGUAAAUGUUUACUAAUGUAUCUCCUUCAGUGUGUGUCAGAAUUUCUUCCUGUAUUUCAAUGGUUUGUUAGUAGGUGUGUACAUGUUUACUAAUGGAUCUUCUUGCUGUAUUGAGCCUUCGUGUCUUGUAACCUCUUUUCAAUCGAAGUCUGUUUUGUUUGAUGUUAGUAUAGCUGUCUUAUUCUCUCUUGAUUACGAUGCGCAUAGACUAUCUUUUUACAUACUUUCGCUUUCAAGCUGUUUGUGUUUUGGGAUGUAACGAAAGUCUCUUAUGAACAGUAUAUAGUUGGAUCAUGUUUGUUGAUUUAUCCAUUCUGCUUAUCUCUUUUGAUUGGAAAGUCUGAUCUAUUUUCAUGUAGAGUAAUUCUGGUAAGAAGGAAGUUACUCUUGUCAUUUUGCUUUUUUUUUUUCUGUGUACCUUAUAAAUUUUCCAGUAUUAUUUCUUUUGUGUUUACUUGAUCUUUUUUUGUAGUAAAACAUCUGGAUUCCUUUCUCAUUUCCUCUGAUGUAUAUUCUGUAGCUUUUUGUUGUGGUUAUCACUGAGAUUACUUAACUCCUAAAAUUAUAAUAAUCUAAUUUGAAUUUAUACCAAUUUAAUGUCAAUAAGAGUGUCUGAUCCUAUACGUCUGUCUUUUACCAUUUCAGUUACUGAUGUCACAUAAUUACAUGUUUAGACCUUGUGUGUCCAAAGACGUAGACUAACAAUUUUUAAUGUAUUAUUCUCUUAAACCAUGUAGAGUGCAAAAAAUGGAGUUACAAACCAAACUUACAAUAAAACUAGCUUUUAUGACUGUCCAUGUAUUUACCUUUACUGAGAUAAUUACUUCUUUACACAGCUUCAAGUUACUGUCCAGGGUCCUUUCUUUUCACCUGGCAGUUGAUCAGCAGUUCUUACAGGGCAGAUCUAGUCAUGAACUUUCUCCAUUAUCUGGGACUGCCUUAAUUUCUCUUUCAUUUUGGAGGACAGUUUUUCCCAUAUAUUUUCGUAUUUUUAGUAGAGAUUUGGUUUCACCAUGUUGGCCAGGCUGGUCUCGAACCCCUGACCUCAUGAUCUGCCCACCUCAGCCUCCCAAAGUUCUGGAACGACAAGCUUGAGCCACUGCGCCCGGGCUGUUUCCAGCCUUAAAGGAGACAUAUCUCAAGUCCAUCCUCUGAGUAUGAUGUUUGUCAAAGACCAUAAGCACAGUUACUUGUCAGGUAAGGAACACUCUCCUGUAUUUACCGUGUUCUGCAAAUACAUAAUUUUAUUUAAAAACAUGUUGGAUAUUUAUGAGUGCAUUUUUUUUUUUUUUGCUUCUACUGACCUAGUUAAUAUUUUUUCUUUUUUCACCUUAUUAUCUUAAAGUGGUGAAUUAAAGUCAUAGGUUUUCUGAUGUUAAAACUGUUUUCAUUCCUUUGAUGAACUCUGUUGAUACUGAUGCAUUAUUUUUUUAACACAACAUUAAAGUCAAUUAGUAAAAAUAUGUAAGUAAGAAUAUUCAUAAGUGGAAAGAGCCUAUACUUUGCAUUUAGAAGUGUGGUUUUUUUUUUUUAAACCAGCUUUGGAAUCAAGCAAACAAUUUUAUAAUGAUCAGAAACCCUCCGUGUCUCCCUCUCUUUCUUGUUGUUGGGAACAAGUUGCUAUUUGUGUGACAUAUAAAUUCUUUCCUGUUUAAAAGUUUGCUGUAACCUUUCUGUGGAACGUUCUAGGCCUGAUGUUGUUGUUGUUGUUUUUCCUCUUGGGGGAGGUUUUAAUGACCGUUAUGAAUUUUACAUGAAAAUCUAUUUAUCCUUACUCCAGUUUGGAAUAUUAUCCUUUUCCAAAGAUUUAUCCAUGUUGCCUAUGUUUCAAAUUUAUGUCCUUAUAAAAAAGAUUUUCCGUUGUUUGUGCAGUUCCCUCCUCUUUGAGACUGUUUAGUGAUUUGCAUCUUCCCUUUACUGUACUGACCAGAGUUGCCAGACCUUUAUGUAUCUUUCAUUAAUAUUUUCAAGCAAUAGCUUCCGUUCUGUUAAUCUUCCCUGUUUCAUUGACCUAUGUCCUUAUCUGUCCUAGUGUCUUCCUCCUCCUCCCCAUUGGGCUGCUUCUGUUUCUCGUUUGUUUUCUGCUUGAAUCGAACACUUGGCUCAUUUUUCUUACUGUCUGAUAAAUAUGUUUAAACAGACACAGCCAUCACUGUAGCGCGGCUCCAUUACUGUGUGUCCUCUUAUGUUGUACUGUGCAUCUGCAAGUCUUUUCAUCAGGACGGCAUUUUCCUUCUUGAACAUAUGGUAUUUUAUUUACUUUUAAUACCUUUCAUUAUUGGUUUCUGGUUUCCCUGCUUUGGGCUCAGGGAACGUACUAAGCCGGGUGGAUCUUUUGGGCUGAUGGUAGCUUGCAGCCUCGUCCCUGGUCCGUGGCUGUGAAUCCUCCCCUCCACAUCCGCAUAUAUUUUGCUCUGGGAUUUUUAUUAAUCGUGUCAAUCAAAGUUUAUAUGUGUUUAUACUUUUUUGUUUGGGUUAUUUUUGUGUCCCUCUAAUCUACCAGUUUCUGAUAGGGCUUUGUUAAGACCUUGGGUAAUAGAUUUCGCUAUCUCAUUUCUGCCAUAAUGCUGUCAGUUGGCAUUUUCUAUGUCGCGAUGGGUAUCUUAAGGGCAUGUGUGUUCAUAACGACGGUCCCUUCCUGACUUAGCACGCCGUUUUGUCGCUGUGUAACACUGCUUUUUGGCAUCAUGUUUUUUACCUUAAAACCCAUUUAGCCCAAUACUAAGAAACCUUACCUUGUAUUUGAAAAAAAAUUCUUAUUGAAACAGCCUUUGGAAACUGCCCACAUACCUUCCUUUUAGUUAUUUCAUGUAUUAGUUUAUGUAAGUCUUCAUAUCCAUUUUUAUUUCUCAUCAAAAAUCAACGUAUUAGGAUUCUGAAUUUAACUCUUGGACUAGAGAUUCUGCCGUUUGUGCACCGAGAAUGAGUUUGCAGAGAUGCAGGUCUACAUGGACAAUGAGGACCCAGCUUUGCCGCACCACACUGGAAGAGCCCCGGUCUUCCCUCGGCGCUGUGAGGCUGAUCUGAUUUGCAAGCUGCCUGCCUCCCUCUCUCUCUCUUUCCAUUUUCCUUCUUUUCUUCUUUGAUUGCUAGUUUUUUUCUCCUCCGAAUUGUAAUACAGACAUACAGCAAAUGGCACAAGCACUGUACAGGUUUAUAAGUAAGGAAAGGGAGACUCCCCUGUAAGUGCUCAUGACCGCAGCACCAGGCGGUGAGAUGGACUAGUGCCAGCAACCUCGGAGGCCCUCUGUGCCCCGGCCACCUACCAUCACUUCUCUCUCACUCCCCUCUAGGUAACGGCUAUUGUGUCACCUCCACUAGACUCAUCUCCUUGCCGUCCUUUACGGUUUUAGCACUGGGCGUGCAGUUCUGCCUCUGCCAUUUCAUGCAGUGAAAUCAUAGGUGAGUCUCCUGUGGGUGGAAUCGUACCUGUCUUUUUUCACUCAAACUUAUGUUUUGGGGUUUCAUCCAUAUUUUUUUGAAUUAUAAACUUGUCGUAUUUGAUUAGUGGCCAUGGAAUUCAAAGGCUUGCUGCCUAGAGACUGGGACCAUUUUAUUACUUUUAAAAAAUUAUACUUUAAGCUCUGGGGUACAUGUGCAGAACGUGCAUGUUUGUUACAUAGGUGUACACGUGCCAUGGUGCUUUGCUGCAUCCACCCCCCUGUCAUCUACAUUAGGCAUUUCUCCUAAUGCUCUCCUCUCCCUAUCCCCCACUGCCUGCUCUCCCUCCCCUAGACCCACACCUCCCAACAGGCCCCAGUGUGCUAUGUUCCCCUCCCUGUGUCCAUGUGUUCUCAUCGUUCAACACCCACUUAUGAGUGACAACAUGCAGUGUCUGGUUUUCUGUUCUUGUGUCAGUUUGCUGAGAAUGAUGGUUUCCAGCUUCAUCCAUGUCCCUGCAAAGGACAGGAACUCAUCCUUUUUUACGGCUGCAUAGUAUUCCAUGGUGUAUAUGUGCCACAUUGUCUUUAUCCCAUCUAUCAUUGAUGGGCAUUUGGUUCCAAGCCUUUGCUAUUGUGAACAGUGCCACAGUAAACAUAUGUGUGCAGGUGUCCUUGUAACAGAAUGAUUUCUAAUCCUUUGGGUGUAUACCCAGUAACGGGAUUGCUGGGUCACAUGGCAUUUCUAUUUCUAGAUCCUUGAGGAACCGCCACACUGUCUUGUAUGAUGGUUGAACGAAUUCACACUUCUCUGUCUCUCAUCCGUAUUUUUGGAUGCGCUUGUACUGUACUCACUUCUUGCACAGUCUAACCGUUUGUUGUAUGGCUGUACCACCAUGUAACUUUCCCCUGUUCAGUCAGUGGACCCUGAGGCUGGCUUCCAGUUUGGGACCAUGAUAGGCCAGGUUGCUAGGAAGGGUUUCACGCCUGUGUCUGAGCGGAUGUGCCAGAGCGUUUGCCUGGAGUUUGUACUUAGUCCUGAAUUGCUGCGUAGGAGCUGUGUACCUGCAGCUUGACUAGAUGAUAGCGACUGUGUCCCAAAGUUGACAGACAUUCCAAUUAGAUCUCCCACCGCCAGGGUUCGCGAGCUGUGACUGUCCCACAACCACCCGAUCUUCCUAUUUCCAGUCGUUGACUGCAGCGUUAGUCAGUUACACAUACGUUGCUUUCCUCCUCAGUUCAGUGGGCAUGCACGGACGUGGCUUUGUUCUGCCUUCCUCCGAUUAGUUUGUCAGUCACUUUUGUCCUCUAAGUAUCUGUGCCUAUAUUUUGUCCACCUUUUUGGGUUGCUUGUCUUUUUAUUGAUUUGUGUGAGUUAAAAGAAAUGCUUGGCGGGGUACAGCGCAAUCCCAGCACUUUGGAAGGCCAAGGAGGGAGGAUCAUCUGAGUCCAGGAAUUCAAGACCAGCCUGGGCAACAUAGUGAGACCCCAUCUCUAUUAAAAAUAAACAAAAUUAGCCAGGCAUGAUGGUGUGCACCUUUAGUCCCAGCUACUCAGGACGCUGAUGUGGGAGGAUUGCUUGAACCUGGGAGGUUGAGGCUGCAGGGGGCUGUGAUUGUGCCACUGUACUCUAGCUUGGCAGACAGAGCAAGACCCUGUGUCAAAAACAAACAAAAAAUGAAAACAAACAACCCCACAUAUGUAUGCUCUGGAGAUGAACUCUGUUUUCUGUUGAUAAGUGCUGGAGCCGGGCGCGGUGGCUCACGCCUGUCAUCCCUGCACUUUGGGAGGCCGAGGAGGGCUGAUCACAAGGUCAAAAGAUCGAGACCAUCCUGGCCAACCUGGUGAAACCCCGUCUCUACUAAAAAUACAAAAAUUAGCUGGGCGUGGUGACAUGCACCCGUAGUCCUAGCUGCUAGGUAGGCUGAGGCAGGAGAAUUGCUUGAAUCUGGGAGGCGGAGGUUGCGGUGAGCCGAGAUCGCGCCCCUCCACUCCAGCCUGGCAAUAGUGCAAGACCCUGUCUCAAAAACCAAACGGAAGUGCUUCAAAUAACCUCCCCUGCUGGCUCGGUGUCCUGCUUCUCACUCCUACCUAAUGUCUUUUGAUGACCAGAAGCUCCUAAUUUCAGUGCAGUCAAAUCCGUCGAUUUGUUUUACGCCUGAGAAAAUCUUAUCUUAGCCCAGUAUUAAAUCAUGUAUUAGCUUGAUGUAACAGUCUGCGCAUAAUUCUUCUCUUAACAUUUAAAAAUGAUCAUUACACCGUUGCCUGACUUCCGUAGUUGACAAGGGCGAUACCAACUUGAUUCUUAUUUAUAUUUAUUGCCUUUUUUCCUGAUAACUGUUAGAAUUUUUUCUCUCGAUGUUUAAAAAUUUAUUUUACGUUUGUCUGCUUUUACCUUUUUUCUUUUCUGUUUUUUUUUUUUUAGGCCUCUUUGAGUCUUUUCAAAUCAAGGUCUUGCAUUUUCUUUAUUUCUUGCUAACUCUUGGUCAGUUUUUAAAGCGUCCUGUCAUCUCUGAUCAUUCCUCUGCCCUGCCAGGUCUUCCGUUGCACACACUUGCAUCUCCGUCCUGUCCUCCGUCUCCCUCCUUGCGUCUUCUGUCUCUCCGUUCCUCCCUCCCACUUCCUGGCUCCGGCCCCUGACUUGCUCUUCCACACACUGAUGUGUCCUCAGCUGUAUCCAUUCUGUUACUCACCCAUUCAGUUUUAAACACCGACCAUUAUAUCUUUCGACUUUGUCAUUUACGACCGAGUCUUCUCCAUGACUUACGUCAGCUCUGUGUCUUCAUCUUCUCUUUCCUCUUUUAUAAUCUCUCUCAUUUCUAGGAUGUAGUUGUGUUGAAAAAAUAUUGAUGAUAGCCCCUAAAUGGCAUGAUUUUGCAUCGUGAGGACAUUAGGCCCUGUGGCCAGGGAUGCAUCCCCGGGGAUGUGGUGGCUGCUCUGCCUGGCUUUUGGCUUUCUUCCCGGGUCACGCGUGGAGGAGAGAUGCCUCAGGAAGGAGCUUCAGUGCCAGUCUAUGUAUCUCGCCCUUGCACUGCCUUUUUUUUUUUUUUUUUUUUGAGACAGAUUUUUGCUCUGUCAUCCAGGCUGGAGUGCAGUGGCAUGAUCUCGGCUCACUGCAACCUCCGCCUCCUGGGUUCAAGCGAUUCUCCUGCCUCAGCCUCCUGAGUAGCUGGGAUUACAGGCAUGCGCCACCACAGCCAGCUAGUUUUUGUAUUUUUAAUAGAGAUGGGGUUUCACCAUGUUAGUCAGGAGGGUCUCGAACUUUUGACCUUGUGAUCCAUCUGCCUCAGCCUCCCAAAGUGCUGGCAUUACAGGUGUGAGCCACUGCGCCUGGCCUGUACUGCUUUUUAAAAAAGUUUUUCAUCUUACUGUUAGCGUGGAUCAUGGAAUCCUCCAGGUCUGAGGGUAGUGGGGUGGGGAGAGGGACCCUGGGGUUGGCAGGUCCAUCAGAUCUGGGGUUCACUUCUGGGGUCUCCAUGGGGCCUCCAGUGACUAGCACUUUCCUUCUGUUGGCCUGUGGCUGCCAGGCUGAGACAGGGUGAACUAUCUAAUAUCUAAGCCUGGCAGCCACAGGCCAACAAAAGGAAAGUGUGAGAAAGGGUGAACACGGAAACCAAAAUGUCGCCUUCAUGUUAGAGGCUUAUUUAGAGGGCUGGAGCUCUAAAGGGACCUGCAGGCUGAACCCUUCUCCCCUGCAGCCUCCAUGGGCCAGCCCCAUCCCAGGGAGGAAGGGCAUAGCUGAGCCCCUGAGUGGAGGGUGGGAGAGGCUGAGAGUGAGGGAACUGGGGCGGGGAAUGCAGUCAGCCCUUCAGUGUGCUCCUACUCUUCUGCACGUCUGGUUGAAAGCAGCCCCGUGUCACCGAGACGCAGCCUCCGCUGGGAUGAUAGCAGCUGCAUUUCUCUCUCAUAGGCCUAUGCUUGGCAGGAAGGAAGAAGAAGAAACGGCGCUCCCCUCUCUGCCUGCUCACCUCCCUGAAAACCCUCAUUUCCCUCUCCUGUGGCCAGCUGCAUUUUCAACCCUAGGAAGCAGACGCCUUUUGCGAUGUCCGGGCCCCUUAGAUCCCGUGUGUGGUUGCCGGGCACAGCCCCCACCUCUCUCUGGCUGCUAAGGGGCUUACAGGGCUUGGCUCAGGGAAGGUUGUCCACAGGUCUGGGCCGCUUUGCCUUUUGUUGGAAACCAGAAGCUUCUGUGUUCCUCUCAUCGCUGGAGCUGGAUUUUCCCAGCUGCGUGCACAGUCCUGGCCUGGGCUGUGUCUUCUUGGGGAGGUUCCAUUUGCUGCCUCUAGGGUGGAGCAGUAGUCAGUGUUCCUGGAACAGUCCUGGAAGUCAGCAGGCCGGAGGUGAAUGAAAGGUGGGGACAUGAGCUCGGGGCUGGGGCACGCUGCUUGGGUGGGAAGGGGUGUCCCUUACAUCAGGGGCAUGGACUGUCUAGAGAGACACCAUUUCUCGGCCGGGCGAGGUGGCUCACACCUCUAAUUUCAGCACUUUAGGAGGCUGAGGUGGGUGGAUCACAAGGUCAGACAUUUGAGAUCAGCCUGGCCAACAUAGUGAAACCCUGUCUCUACUGAAAAUACACCCCCACACGCACGCACACACGUGCACGCACACACAUGCACACACACGCGCACACGUGCACGCACACGCGCAUACACGCACACACACGCACGCACGCACACACAAAUUAGCUGGGCAUGGUGGCGCACACCUGUGAUCUCAACUACUCAGAAGGUUGUGGCAGGAGCACUGCUUGACCCUGGGAAGCAGAGAUUGCAGUUGUGCCACUCCACUCCAGCCCAGGUGACAGUGCGAGACUCCAUCUUAAAAAAAAAAAGUGAGACAGCAUGAGACACCAUUUCUCCUUCAACUCCAGGUGGCCUUUCGAAUCCUGCUGGUGUGCAGAGGCCUGGACUCUGUCCCCAUCCACCAAGGACUUCCGUGACUGCUGCCUUGGGACUGGCAUCGCAGUCUCACCGAGGGGACGUGCUUUCCUUGGUUUCUUAGACUAAUCCUGAGUCUAAGAAUGUGAGGUUUGCCACAGGCAAUGUCACUGUCCUAACCAGCAACAGUUGUCCCUUUAAGUGGCCCACCCAUUGGCUCUUGUUCCUCCUGAAGCCCGGACACUGAGGAGUGAAAAGACCUCAGAACUCGGUGGACUAAGAGCCCUCAGUACCAUGUGCUCCGAUGUCCACCAACAUCAGUCAUGUGGAAAAUCUGGAGUAAUUCGGAAAUGCUUCCGAACUAGAGCAAAUGUUCCCAUAAAAUCUCAGGUACGUUAUUUCCCGGAGAAGUGCCUGUUUCACUGACUAGGUCUUGUGUGUAAAAUGCAGUAUUCUGAGUUACCAGGUGUUACUAUUGAAAUUGUUGUGAGUCGGAUGGCGGGAUGGAAGUUUUGGAAGCUGAAUUCUGAAAGCAGUUUUCAUCUUUCUUUGAGCCUUGGUUUCCUCGUCUGUAAAAGGCAUAACAGCCUUGAAAACUGAACUAACAGGGUGUAAUGAAAGGACAGCAGCUUUUCUUACCGCGUUGCACGGACGUUAGUUUCCCAAAGAAGCUUAAUUUUAAUUUAAUUUGAGGAAGACACAAAAAUGUGCAAAGACGCUACAGAUAUUUUCGCCAGUCAGUUUCAGUGUCUCUAUCAUGUGCAUCAAUAUGGCUCAAAGGAAGCAUGGGGAAUGUUCUCCAGGCUGGGGCUUCCGGCUGGAGCCGGCUUUCCUGGGAGGAGCCCCUGGAGCCUGUGCCAGGCAGGUCUCAGGAGCCCAGAGUUCUUUGGGGGUGAGACAAGGAGAACCAGGCCUUGAGAAAGGUGACGGCUUAGUGUCCGGGCCUUGGGGAGCCAGGAGCCCUCUGCAGCAGGACCAGGGUGUGGGGCUCGGGGCCAAGUACAACCACAGGAAGAAGCUGGGUCUCCACCAGGCCAGCGGGCAUGAGGUCACAGGUCCAGUCACCCACCCACGUUUGCACCUUGGCGCAAGGUCCCCGACCAGUGUGCGGUGAUCAGGGGCCUCCUUGGGUGAGGAAUGGGGUGGGAAGAGAACUGAGGGUGAAGAAGUCACCAGAGGUGUCGACAUGGAGGCUGGGAACGGGCUCCGUUGGUCUUCCCAGCGUGGGUGUGGCUGGCGGGGACUGCAGGGGUGGCACAGGCGUUAGAUAUCGUGAACCCCAGGUUUCUCUGCAAAGAAUCAGUGUGUCAGUAUGUUCAGCUCUUUUUCUUUAGUUCUCUAUUUUUAAAUGUCCUCGUAAUUCCAGUGAGUAGCCUUCUCCACCAGUUCUAAUCAGUAGUUCAUAUAUGUUCCCCAGCCCCCGGCUCCAUCCUGACUCAUCCCAGUCACCUGCUCUAAUCACCUGCCCUGGUCACCUGCUUUGACCUAGGUCACCCCGGCUACCCGCUCUGACCCGCCUGUAACCGUCCUUCCCGCCAAAACACCCACCCUGCCCCUUCAGCUUGGACCCCUGCUCUCAUUAAAAUAGCGAAUCGGGAUUAGUCUAGCUUGUGCGGCCUAACCCUAGCCAACAGAGGAACGACACAGCAGCAGGGACGACCCCAUCAGGCGUCAGUCCCCCUUUUCUCCCUCGUCCUACUAUGCGCUCGCCAUUGCUCCAUCUGUGAGCUGCACCGUCUAUAGAGGUAGAUUGACUUGCUGAGGACAUUUAUAUUCCAGUGCUGCUGCUUCUGUGGCAUCAGAAAUUCUGCCUGUAUCACAGGGGUGGGACGAAGGCAGGUGUGCUGGUGGAGCAGGCCCUGCCUCUGGGGACCAGGAGGGAACGUGCGAUUGGGGUGUGUGGAGGUGAGCAUGCUGUGUGGGGGCAGGGAGAGGCAGGGUGGAGCCUUGGUUUCAGACUCACUGACCGUCAGGACUCCCAGCCAGGCUGGACCACAGGGUCCGUAAGCGGCGCUGACUCGUGUGGAUGUGCUCGGAGGCUUCUGGGCAGGUGCAGCCACGGUGACAGCCGGCCUCAGGGCCCUUCCUCUGCGGGAGACACGGCUGCCCGGUGCAGGCCCUGGCUGUUGGAGGUCAGGGUUUAUGGGUGAUGAGUGCCCAGCCCAGUCAGGGUCAGUGGGGAGAAAUCCAAAGCCAGCCUGGGGUGCAGGCACCAGACCGGUGUGGAACUCUGGGGAAUGGCUUCCAGAUAAGCCACCAGAGCUGCACCUCCUGUCCUGGGUCCGUCAUCUUCUGCACUCCAGCCCAGGGGAAUCUUCCAGGGUCCCUUCUUCCUGCAGCCUGAGCGUGCCCAUCUGCAGAAGGAGGGAGGAGGAGCUGUCCUGCAUCUUGGAUAAUGGAGCCCCCAGGGUCUUCGUCCUUCGGAAAGGCACGUGCUCUCCCAGGUCAGAGUCUUACAGUCCUGCAAGCCUUUGUCCACCUCCUCCCUGGGUCACUGUGGCUUUCUGCAGGCCCCGGAGCAGUGAGGAGCAGGAAGGUGGUGCUGCCGCCUGUGUGAAAAGCCCCUGGUGCACAAAUGCCUCUCACUCUUCUCACAGAAAUCUCCUUCAGGUAAACACUGGGCCCCUCAUUUUGCCUUAUCUGCCCCACCCCUACCCCCACAGGCACGUACAUCAGCCCUGUUAAUCACUGCACUUCUACUUAAAACAGCCCAAGGCUUCCCAUGUCUAGAAAACAGAAUCUCCACUCUGGCCCUCUGCUCUCUGAUGACCUCUUCAAGCUGAAUCUCCUCCCAGCCUCCUGCUCUGUGCUCCAGAACCCCGAGCUGCAUGCAAGUACCCCUGUACACUAUGUCCUUAUGUACGUCUGUGUCUUUGUUCAUGCUGUUCUCUCAGCUGGCACUUCCUCUCUGGCUGUGCACACUUGGCAAACUCCUAUUCAUACCACAAAACCCAGCUGCAACACUCCCUCCUCGAGAGUCUUCUUGGACCCAGAGAGGCAGAAUUCAUAGCUCCCUGCCCUGGGUCCCUGGAGAAAGCUUUGCUUCCCCUGUUACCCUCUGGAUUGUCACCUAUCCCCCUCUGAGUGGGUGGGCAGAAGCCUUUCCUGAGGAGCAGGCUGGCCGUCCUCGGGUCCUGGGGGCUUGACAUACCCGUGCAGUGCCUGGCUGGAGAGGAGGCACAGCCUGCACAGCGUCUGUUCUGGACUGAACCCCGGAUCCAUCAGCUAGGUCUGGGCAGGUGUUGGGGGCUUGGAAGGACGCUUCACUCUUAGAUUGAAGCUGACAUUUAUUUUUCUCCCACAUACUCCCCAGUCUUGACUUUGCAGAGAGUUAAAGCAAAUAGUAAUGUGGGAAGGAUUUGUUACAUAUUUAUUUAUUUCCCUUUAAAUCUCUACGGCCGCAAAGAAGGUGUUUAUUUUAAAAUUUAAAUUGUAGCUAGCAGAGUGUUGCGGUGACUCACUCAGUCGCCUCCUCUCCCGCCCCUCUUAGCUCCCUGCUGCGGCUUCCCACUCCAGUGCUCCAUCCCAGUGGCGAUUGUCUCCACCAGGUGACUGACAGAUGGCCUGGCUGUUUCGGAUGCCUCUGUCACAUCACUGAUGUUGAGAAAUUAAAAAAAAAAAAAUGACAAAAACUUCCCCAAACACAAACAAUGAAAAGGAACUCCUUUCUCAUCUCCUGUCUGGUGUGGGUGGUGUGCUGUCUACACAAGGCCUUGUUAUAAAUCUGCACCCCGCCCCUCCUGCAGUCCACUGUCUGGUGUGGGUGGUGUGCUGUCUACACAAGGCCUUGUUAUAAAUCUGCACCCCGCCCCUCCUGCAGUCCACUGUCCCUGCGGUAGAGAAAUCCCAGAUCCGGGGAUUCUGGACUCAGGCCCUUGGUCUCACGGCCAGGCAGUGGCCGCGGCUCUUCCCACUAAGCUGCCGGGAAGGAGCUCCAGGGACUCUUGCAAAAUAUCUAGUAUUGGUUCUCCUUGUACCCCUAAUUUCCCUCCUUCCAGCCCAUAUAAUUACCCAAUGUAAUUGUGCACACCUGGCAAACUCCUACUUAUACUACAACACCCAACUUCAACACUCCCUCCUCAGGAGUCUUCUUGGACUCAAACCAUCUGAAAGGCAAGCCUGGUGGAGUCCACCUGCUGGACAGCCUGAAGCAGCUCCUUUUGCUUUUGGUGGGUAGCUCAGACUUCCUGACAAGGUCCACGUGACCCCUCCUGGCCUGAUUCCUGCCCCUGCUCUCCCUGCCCAGUCUCCUCCCUGCCACCCUGUCCCUGCCCCUCCAGGUGGAACUAUUUGGUGCAUCUCUAAUCGUCUGUGGUGAUGGAAUAUUUUUCCUUCCAUCACAGAUGCUAUUUUGAAAAUUACAGCAAAGAGAAGUCACCCAAACACUGAAAGCAAACAGCAUACAGAAUACAGACUCCACUCUUUUUUGGAGACAGUCUCACUCUAUCCCCUAGGCUGGAGUGCAGUGGUGCGAUCUCGGCUCACUGCAACCUUUGCCUGCUGGGUUCAAGCGAUUCUCCUGCCUCAGCCUCCCGAGUAGCUGAGAUUACAGGUGCCCACCACCACGCCUGGCUAAUUUUUGGAUUUUUAGUAGAGACAGGGUUUCAUUAUAUUGGCCAGGCUGGUCUCAAACUCCUGACCUUGUGAUCCGCCCGCCUCAGGCUUCCAAAGUGCUGAGAUUACAGGCAUGAGCCACUGCACCCAGCCCAGACUCCACUUUUUAUGAUUAAUUUCAACAGCAUAAAAUUACUGUCAAUUUCCUAUAAACAUUUCUAAACAUGCUCAAUUUUUGUUUUCAUCUCGAGGGCUGCAACAAAGGCUGGGGAUUGGCAUAGGUCCGAAGACCACAGUGGGAGAAGCCCUGAACGAGAGUUCCUGGAGGAGCCUGUGCUCUCUUGCCCCAGGGUUGCUCAUGCCAUCGCCUCUGCCAGGGACCGCAUCCACCCACUGUGGGCACCGAACUCUCACUCCCAUUCCAGAGUCAGUUUGGGAGCCUUCUGUCCUCCAAACAUCUUCCUGGACCUUGUCCAAGUCGGGUGCCUUCCUCCCUGCCCAUUUCACCAUUGCUGGCCUCUGCCCAGUGCCUUAUCCUGCCUGUGGGAUAGUGUAGGAGCUCAGCAGUGCGUGUCUUGAGCGACUGGACCUGUAGUAAACGCAGGAACGUGGAGAUGGUGCUUUACACCAGUGCUUCUCUAAGUGCAGACGACGGACCUUUAUGUGAAUCCGACCACUUUGGGUUCAAAACUCACUUGCCAGCGAAUUCUUUCAUAGUGCGGUCUAGGGAAGAACACACCCCACUCCACAGAAUCUAGAGAUGAUUUACAGACCUGUGGUGUGGUUCACUUGCAGGCCAGGAACUGAUAUUUUGCUUUCUGUGUCCGUUUGUGGACUCUAAUGAGAUGUCCCUCAGGUAGGUAUGGUGGCCUCGAAACAGUUUUACCACUGAAAUCCAUAUGCUGACAACGGUAAGGUAGAGGCAUGGGAGAUGGGAAAAGGUGUAGAUGAAACAUCCAGAGAUGAGCCCUGGUGUGGUGAUUCACGCCUGUAAUCCUAGCACUUUGGGAGUCUGAGGCGGGCAGAUCACAAGGUCAGGAGAUUGAGACCAGCCUGGCCAACAUGGAGAAAUGCUGUCUCUACUAAAAAUACAAAAAAAUAGCUGGGCGUGGUGGUGGGCGCCUACAAUCCCAGCUACUUGGGAGGCUAAGGCAGGAGAAUUACUUGAACCUGGAAGGUGGAGUUUGCAGUGAGCUAAGAUUGUGCCAUUGCACUCCAGCCCAGGCAACAGUGCAAGACUCCCUCUCAAAAAAACAAAGAAAAGAAACAUCCAGAGAUGAGAAGUGUAAUGUGGGAGACAAGCAGCACCCAGCAUGGGCUGAACAGCGGAGCAGACACUGCAGAAGUAUUAGUCGUCUCGAGGCAGAGCUAUCGCAGCUACCCAGAAUGAAACGUGGAGAACAAAAGGUUUUUCUACGCAUAGAUCAUGUUAUCUCCAAAUAGAAUACAUAAAAACUUGGCAGAACUAACAGGAGAAACAGACUCAAAAACAUAUGUGGCUAUGUUCACACCCAUUGUUUGGUGACAUAGAACAAGUAGACACAAAAUCUUUAAGGAUGCAGAAGAUGAAAACGAAUCUCUCAACAAACCUGAUGUGGCUGACAUUUGUAAGACACCGUAUUCCACAAUUGCAGGUAUGUAUACAGCCCCCAUCAUGUGCCAGGUCUUCUUUGAGUCACUGGGAAUUGAGUAUGACAAAGAUAAAAAGAAAAUCCUGCCUGAAUGGACCUUCCCCUCCUGCAGAGAACCAACCUGACAAUUAAGAAUGAUAGAUUUUUGGUAAAAAAAAAUCAUAUAUGGCAUACUAGGUAGUGAUGCCUGGUAAGAAAAAUAAGGUAAGGAAACAGAGGGAAUUGAUAGAAAGAGGAUUAGACUUUUAGACAGGAUGGCUGGGAAGGUCCAGGGAAGGGCGUAGAGGCCUGAAAUGUGGAAGAGCAUUCUGGACAGAAGGUACAGGGGCCCUGAGGUGGCAGCCUUGAUGGCAUGCUCCAGUGGCAUUGAGGACCAGGGACACGGUGUGACUAUGUGCCCACCCAAAUCUUAUCUUGAAUUGUAGCUCCCACAAUUCCCACGUGUUGUGGGCGGGACCUGGUGGGAGGUAAUUGAAACCUGGGGGCAGGUCUUUCCUGUGCUAUUCUUGGAAUAAGUCUUUAGAGAUUUGAUGGUUUUAUAAAAGGGAGUUUCCCUGCACAAGUUCUCCUCUCUUGCCUGCUGCCCUUUGAGACCUGCCAUUUCACUUUCCGCCAUGAUUGCGAGGCCUCCCCAGCCACGUGCAACUGUGAGUCCAUUAAAUGUGUUUCUGUCAGGCUAGGCACGGUGGCUCACGCCUGUAAUCCCAGCACUUCGGGAGGCCGAGGAGGGUGGGUCACCUGAGGCUGGGAGUUUGAGACCAGCCUGACCAAGAUGGAGAAACCCUGUCUCUACCAAAAAAAAAAAAAAAAUUAGCCAGGUGUGGUGGUGCGUGCCUGCAAUCCCAGCUAUUUGGCAGGCUGAGGCAGGAGAAUCCCUUGAACCCCAGAGACGGUGGUUACCUGCGGUGAGCCGAGAUGGUGCCGUUGCACUCCAGCAUGGACAACAAGAGUGGAACUCCAUCUCGAACAAAAUAAAACAAACAGGAAGAAAACCAACUCUUUCUUUCAUAAAUUGCCUAGUCUCAGGUAUGUCUUUAUCAGCAGCUAGACUAAUACAGCCAGUUCACUUGGAGUAGAGGAAGAGAAGAGGAGAGGGGCAGGAGAGGAGGUCCUUUAGGAACCUAGGUCACUGUGAGGAUGUCGCCUUUGUCGUGAGAGAGAUGGGAUGACGCUGGAAGACUGAAGGAGUGACCUCAUUUCUAUUUGACAUUCGAGACGGACUUCUCGACUGCCUCUCACCCACACUCCAGAACUUGCUCCUUUCCCAGUAUUUCCAGGUAAUAAGUGGGUUCUUUCCUCCUCUCUUCGCUGGUCGCUUCAGCCAUAAUACCUGGAGCCUUCCUUAUGUCUGUCCUCUUCUAUGACAACGCACCAAGUCCAUCGUCACAUCCUGUUGGGCUUACAUUUAACACACCGCUCGUCUUCUCCGGAGUCCAUGCUGCUCUAAGGUAUGAUCUGCUCUCUCCUGGGCGAGGCGAGAGCUUCUUGCCUUGUCCCCCUGCUUUCAGUCUCACCCCACUAUGCUCUGUAUUUCAUAGUGAAGUCACAGGGAUUCUUAAAAAUACAAGAAUCAAGGCAUGGCCUUUGCUUGCUCAGAAUUCUCCAGACCCUUCCCAUCACAUUUAGAAACAAUAUCAGAGUCCUCGCUAUGGGUGUAAAGGGAUCUAGGAUCUUGCCCUGUUGCCUUCCUGGUCUCAGCUCUUUCUGCUUCUGCCCAGCUUCUGAAUCCCUGCCCACCUUCUCUUUCUCAGACAGCCCAACACAUUCCCUCUUUAAAACCAUUUCACGUUUUUUCCUUUACCAAGGAGCGUUCUUCUUCCUGAGCCCCCAGCUCACUUGCUUCCUGUCUCUUUUCGAAUUUCACCCCUUAGAGAAGACAGCCCUAUGUUUCUAUGAAACGGGCUUCUGUGAGCACCCUAUUUCAGUAGGUACAUGCACCGUAAGGUCAUCCGUAGAAUCAAUGAAUUCACUCCAAAGAAUCCAGUGAAAUUUUUGUGCCACUUGACAGACUAAUUUUUAAAAUUCAUCUGGAAAAAGAUUUGCAAAAGAAGAAUAUAUAAAAUCAUUUGUUUUGUUUUGAAAAAGCAAAACAAGGUAAGAGUUGUCCACAAGAUGUGAAAUUGUAGUAUGUUUCUGAAGUAACUAACUCAGCAUGCUGUUGGUGCCAUAACAGCCGUAAACUGGGGCCAGGCGCGGUGGCUCACACCUGUAAACCUGGCACUUUGGGAGGCCGUGGUGGGCAGAUCAUGAGGUCACGAGAUCGGGACCAUCCUGGACAACAUGGUGAAACCCCGUCUCUACUAAAAAGACAAAAAUUAGCUGGGCAUGGUGGUGCGCUCCUGUAAUCCCAGCUACUCGGGAGACUGACGCAGGAGAAUCGCUGGAACCCAGGAGGCGGAGGUUGCAGUGAGCUGAGAUUGUGCCAUUGGACUCCAGCCUGGAGACAGAGGAAGACUCUGUCUUAAGCCAAAAAAAAAGUAAUAAAUUGAAUAAAUAAGGGGGGAAAACACAUUCAUGUAAACAUAAGAUUUCAGUUCAUAGUGAGUGUAUGAGAGAGACACUUCAAAUUCACAAUGAAGUAGACUCUUGAGUAAAUGGUAUUAGAACAAAUAUCUAACCAUAUAAGAAAGGGUAAUACAAAUAAUAGGGACAUUAAACAAUACAUGCUAAAUAUGAAAACAAACCGUGAAAGAAGAAAAUAGGAAUUUGUGAGAAUCACUUGGUAUCUAAAAUCUUUUCCAAAACAAGGUGCAGAAUUUGGAAGCCCCGAGGAAAUCAGAAAUACAGAAACAUUUGACCUAAUAGAAACAAAAAUAAAAUACUUUAAUAAUACAGGACGACAUAAAGUUUAAAGAAGAUUUCAAAGUGUGAGAAAAUGGUUAUUCCACGGGUUGUUAAAAGCACAAACAAGGAACAGGCCAUUCCCCUUGGGGACGGGCAAAGCCUUUGGCUAAUUUUCAUGUGAAGAAAUACCAAAUAAUCAAGAAUAACAUAAAAGGUCACUAUUAUAAAUAGCCAUGGACAUGAACUUUAAAAUACGAACGAAACAUUUCAGCUCAACGACUUUGCAAUUUUAAAAUGGACAAUAUCAAGUAUCAGUGAACUUGUAGGUAAAUAAGUUUGUUCAAUAUAAUUGUGGGUGAUUCCAGGAAAUAGUGAGAGAAGCCUACUUUCACUCCUUGAUCCCCAGACCCAUGUCUUAUGGCUAAAGGCGGAGAAAGCCCCCCACAGCAGUCUCUGAUUCCAAGCAUGUAAUGCCCCCUGUAAGACCUAACCCAGCCUGCUGGGGUGUUGUCUCCUGAGCUGCCACUGAGUGUCCGGCGUGCUAGUUCACCUCACGAACAGGCCGUCUGCUUCUGGGUGAUGGGAUAUGCGGUGAGAUCAGCGUACCUCAUCUCCUCCCUGGGCAGGAGACCUUUGCUGUCCUCCUUUGCUGUGAAAUGAGUUCCCUGGCCAGAGGCUCCACUGUCAGGAGCGCCACGUCGGUGGAGAAUGAAUUCUGCAAGCCCAGGAUGUGUGUGGUGGCGGAAGCAUUACAGGCAGGGAAGGCACAUGCGUAUCCAGCACAGAUGUUUGUUCCUAUGAGGAUGCAUCUCUGUCUUGUCCACGAUGGAAGAAGUCCAGUGUCACCAACCUGCCUCCCGAUGGCCAGCUGCUCCCUGCGGGAAAUGGUGCCACUUGGGAGCUCAGUGUUGGUCUCUGCUGCUGGCAGAUCGGGCACCCAGCAGUGACCUGAGCCAGGCCAGACUUGGUGAGUGACAUCCAUGCAGAGUGCAGGCACAGCCUCCAUCCCUGCCACCGUGGCCACUUUGCUUAGGAGCCCACUCGACGAUGACAGGGAGGACGGGGAAGGUGGCUGCCUGGUGCCCACAGAAUGUGUUAUCUCGUCCACCUGAGUAUUAAGAAUUUCUUCCAGGUCGUUGUUCUCUUGUGACCUUCAUUCACGCGGGACGCACAUAUCUUCACAGUCUGUUUGCGUCCUGAGAGGUCUGUCCGCAAAGCUCUUCACAGCCAGCAAUCUCCGGUCUUGUUCUUUCCGACCCGUCGGCAGAUGCACACACAUUAGUGCGGGUCUGCACUUCUAGUCACUUCUCACUCCGAAAUCUACAUACUGCUCGGAGCUCUGCCCACUGAAAUGAUUUUCCUUCUCCACUGUGCCCCAGGCUCACCCUGAGGCAGGUCGCUGUGCUACAGCUGUCCCCUUUUGCGGGCAGCAGAUCGAUCACGAAGCCCGUCAGUAAGUUUAGCUGAAGUUGGUUCUACCUCAGUAGCUGAAAGAGACACCUUGAUAAGCGGUGGGCAUGGCACCUGGGGUGGGUGGAGGUAGCGAAACAGGAGGCGGUGCUGGGUGAGUCAGAGACACCUGCUCACCCUACGUGGGCCUCACAGACGCGCCUGGAUGCCGUCUCCCAUGCCCCAUUUCAUUUGACUGUCCAUCACUGCUGCCCACACUGAAUCUCCUGUGGGUCUCAGGAGAUGGAAAGGGUCUUCCAGGUAGGUGGACAGAUCUGGUGAGGGAACUCUAAACUGGAUCGCAGACAUGUUGCAAAAGGAGAGCGGUGCGGGGCCUGGUUUUGCCUAAGACCUGGCUGCCAGGUUGGACAAGGAAGGCUGGGAGGCAGGUGGAUCUGUGGGCAUCCAUCUGGGCUGGCAUCAUCAUCGGGACAGUUAGGUAUGAGUGUGAUUUGCAGGGGAUGCGGCUGGGGACCCAGUUCAAAUCACAGACCUUUUGGCCAGCCCUUCAGUUGUCAACAAGGGCCAUGGCGGAAUCCCUAAACCGGAGUUUGUGGUCCUGCCUGGGAGCACAGGGAGAGCCCCGGUGGAGACAGGCAGGGAAGCCUGCGGCCACCAGGACCUCUUCCUCUCCAUCUCUGUUCUCAGUGGCUCCAUCUCAGAAAUGAGAGGUGUCGCCCACCCCGUCAGCUGCACCCCUCCCCCGCCCCCACUGCUGCAGUCAUUUGAAAGCAGGUACUACAGGUGGGCCAGGAGGUGAGCUUUGGAGGUGUUGAUAGGAAAACAUUCACACCUGCCACUGCCUGGUGGCACCAGAGAAAGUGGAAUAUUCCAUUUGUGCUUGAUAAAAAGACAUGUGUAUUCUCAUCCCCACUCAUCCUGCUGAACACUCUCCCUGGAGAGUGAGAUGAACAACCUGCCGGCGUGUUCUGCUGAGCAGGACAGUGCUGAGCACUUGAUGAGGGUGCGGGAUUAAGGGUGACACACUCUCAGGUGCUUCCCAUCACUGGGCAGUUUACCCUAGCUAGGAUCCCAAUCUCCUCUCAGAAUAAGAGUGAUUUCCAGGUAGCCAGAUCCAGGGAGGAACUCCAGUUGGAGCAGAGACAUGGUGCAAAAUGACAGGGGUGUGGGGGCCUGAGCACAGCAAUGUGCUCAGCUUCUCCUCCAGUCCGGCCCCCACAGCAGUAGGGAGGUGCUGAGCCAUGCCCCCCUCCUCCCGGGCUCUGUCCUGGCAGCCACAGCACAACUCAAGGGAGAGGCGGCUGAGUCACUUUCCUUGCCGGAGUUAGGGUGGUCUUUGAGCUCUGGGUGAGUCAGGAGGAUACAUUGAGGGGCCAGUCUCCGUGUAAUAUGAGCUCAAUUUCUUGCUGGUGCAAGUCACACUUAGGUUGCGUUUAGGAAAAGUAACCGGAUGGUGAAAAUGGAAUUCGUUUUCUAGAAAUUCAGGUAAAACGAGAGCAAGGACUUAGUGGGGCAGGGUCCGUGGGUGGUUUUGAGCAGGGCAGGUGAGGCUCUGAGGCCCUGGGGACUCCCAUGCACAGGCUUCGAGCAAGUCCAGCAGUGUGGGCAAGAUGGAUCCAGAGAAACUAGGGGGCUUUAUUUCACCCCUCAGCUCCUAAAUGCAGCCUCACCAGAGAGAGGGAAGAGGAAAGUUCCCAGAUCAUCUGCCGUGUUUCAGGCCCCUUGCCAGAUAUUUCUGUACUGGAUACAUCACUGAUAAGGUUUGGCUCUGUGUCCCCACCCAAAUCUCAUCUUGAAUUGUAAUCCCCACGUCUCAAGGCAGGACCUGAUGGGAGGUGACUGGAUUAUGGGGGUGGUUCCCCCCAAGCCAUUCUCGUGACGGUGAGUCUCACGCGAUCUGAUUGCUUUUAAAAUCGGCAGGUUUUCCUGGUCCGGCACACAUCCACUCCUGCCGCCUGGCGAGGGAGGCGCCUGCUUUCCCCCAGCCUUCCGCCAUGGUUGUAAGUUUCCAGAGGCUUCUAGCCAUGCCUCCUCUUAAGUCUGCAGAACCGUGAGUCAGUUAACCGUCUUUCCUUUAUGAUAACCCAGUCUCAGGUAGUAUUCCUGGUAGCAGUGUGAAAAUGGACUCAUACAUCGUCUUUGUCACAGUGUUUCAGCCGCUUCAGUAUAGGUAUUAUUCAUUUCUCUUUGGAGUAAAGGAAACUGAGGGAAAGAGGAAGUAAUUUACCUGUGGACACACCAGUUUCAGGUGAAGGAGCCAGGAUUACAUCCAGGUGUGUUUGGCUCUCUGCACACCUCCAGGUGGCUCCUUUCUCUCUCUGUCUCUCUCUCUCUCUCCCUCUCUCCCCCCCAUCUCUCUCUCCCUCUUUCCCCUCCUUUCUCCCCGUCUCUCCCUCUCAUCUCUCUCAUCUCUCUCGUCUCUCCAGUAUUCUCCAAACAUUUGUAUGGACCUGGAAAUCUCUUUAGUUUUUUUCCAUCUAGACCUCAGGGUAACUUCUCCCUGGGCAUCCCUUGGUUUAGGGUGGCAGAGACACACUUUCCUCCCCUCCCCAUGGUCAGUGUGGUAGAAAUACAAGCUUCCUACAGUUCCCUCUAAGUGAAUCUCUACUCUUAAUCUCUGACAUGGACCAUCAUCCUGAGUUCUGUAGCCUGGAGGUGGACAAGGGGUGCAGGUGUGUUGAGGACCGAUUCUCAGCACAUUCUUCGUGGGUGGCUGGUACCUCUAAAUGCAAGGUGGAGGACGUAACACUCUGCGUUCUUAGCUGUCAUUCUGGGAGAAGACGCGUCAUAUUUUAGCAUGGGUUACGCGCACAUUCGCAUCAAGCUGCCCGCUGAAGAGCAAACUCCUUCAUGCUGGAGGAUGGCGUUAAUUCCUGUAGGCUUUUCUUCUGUGUCCCUUGUUCACGCAGCGGGGCACUCCACACAUGGAUGCCUAGACCUGAGUGGCUGGAGCAUUGGGUUGUUUGGAGCACAGUGAUGUGGGUGGGAGGGAGCCCAAUGGUUCUGACCCCUGAGCCCCCGUUUUCAGUGAGCGCGGGUUGUAUUGUUCAGCAUCUAGGUGUGAAAAGUAUUUUUAAAUGUACUAGGUGAAGAGUACAAUUGUUAUUCAGACGUAGUCUGUUUUCCCCCUGGAAAGACUGCCUCUGAACGCUGAGUGAUUUUCCUGCCUUUUCAGUCAAUCAGAGGUUUCACCGUAGUGUAAACCCUUGGGCGCCAGAGCCUCCCGCCUCCCCCCAUAUUCUAUGAGAUUCCAUGCUCUCUUCUUCGCCAGCAGCGCUGACAGAUGCAUUGCAGAUGGUUAGCCUCCAGGUGAGAUUAGAUUGAACCCUCCUUAUCUCCUCCUUGUCGUUGUAUCACUUGCAGGAGAAGCUGGGUUGUGAGAUCUGCCAUUGUUGUUGCUGUGUUUUUUUUUUUUAAGAAAAAGAAAUAGAAAAAAAAAGAAAAGAAAGAGAGAAAGAAAAAAAAAAGAAUGAAAGGAAGAAAGAGGAAGAGGGAGAGAGAACGGGAGUGUUGCUUUAUUGCCCAGGCUGGAAUGCAGUCUGAAAAUGGGUAUUGAAAACCUCUUUUAUGCCACUAAUUGUGCUUAAUAAUGGAGACAGGAGAAAAUGAGGGAAGAAAAAAACAAGUAGCCAACCAAUAUUUCACGUAAACCUGUGAGUGGGUGCGAUGUGGUACUGGUAAGAGCGUAUAUUUUGUGUGUUUAAAGUGGAGAGUUCUGUAAAUGUUUAUUAAGUUUAUUUGUUCUGGAUCUGAGUUCGAGUCCUGGACAUCCUUGUUGAUUUUCUGUCUCGUUGAUCUGUCUAAUAUUGAUGUUGAAGUCUCCCAGUAUUAUUGUGUGGGAGUCUAAGUCUCUUUAUAGGUCUUACGUAUCUGGGUGCUCCUGUAUUGGGUGCGUAUGUAUUUAGGAUCUUCCGCUCUUCUUGUUGCAUUGAUCCUUUUACCAUUAUAUCUUUGUUGCUUUAAAAUCUAUUUUAUCAGAGGCGAGAAUGGCAACUCCUGCUUUUUAUUUAUUUAUUUUUGCUCUCCAUUUGGUUGGUAAAUCUUUCUCCGUCCCUUUGUUUUGAAUCUUUGUGUAUCCUGGCAUGUGAGAUGGGUCUGGAUGCAGCGUACCGACGGGUUUUGACCUUUCAUCCAAUUUGCCUGUCCGUGUCUUUUGAUUGGGGGAUUUAGUUGAUUUAAAUUUAGGGUUACUGCCAUUUGAUGUUAACUGGCUGUUUUAUCCAUUCAUUUAUAUAAAUUCUUCUUUAUGUUGGUGCUCUUUACUUUUUGGUGUAUUUUUAGAAAGGCUAAUACUGGUUGUUUCUUUCUAUGUGUAAUGCUUCUUUCAGAAGCUCUUGUAAAGCAGGCCUGGUGGUAAUAAAAUCUCUGAGUUCUUGCUUGUUCACAAAAGAUUUUAUUUUUCCUUCACUUGUGAAGCUUAGUUUGGCUGGAUAUGAAAUUCUGGGCUGAAAGUUCUUUUCUUUGAGGAUGUUGAAUAUUGGCCCCCACUCUCUUCUGGCUUGUAGGGUUUCUGCUGAGAGAUCUGCUGUGAGUCUGAUAGACUUGCCUUUGUGGGUAACCUGACCUUUUUCUCUAGCUGUUCUUUUUUUUAUUUUUAUUUUUAUUGCAUUUUAGGUUUUGGGGUACAUGUGAAGAACAUGUAAGAUUGUUGCAUAGGUACACACGUGGCAGUGUGAUGUGCUGCCUUCCUCCCCAUCACCUGUAUCUGGCAUUUCUCCCCAUGCUGUUCUUAAAGGGAACAUUCCCUCUGUUAGGAAAAUCUGACGGCUGGAAGCCGGGAGUUCCUGACCCCUUGCCCUGAAGCAAGAGUGACCAGGCCUGUCUCCUGGGGGAUGGCCCUCCCAGGUGGGGACACAGGACAUGGGCCCUAAGGUGAGAACUGGGGUGUCGUUCACUCCCUCUUUCAUGCCACGAGUGUGGACGGUGCAGUGACUGUCACAGGAACUCAGCUGUGCCCACACCUGCUCUGUUACCCCGGCGCUUUGGGAAACUGCAGAGUCCAGCAGAAACCACUGGAGUUUUGGGCUCAGAGGGAUUCCUGUUCGAGUCCCCGCUUGGUCACCUGCGAGGCUCAGUGUUGGUGUAGGAACGGAACUUCUCGGAGUCUCAGUUGCUCUCAGCAAUAUUUUACCACCAUCGUUAUUCAUAGUAGAAUAAUACCCUCUCGGACUUGAUAAGUGCAUUUGCGUGCCUGACACAGCGUUAUGGGCUUAUGCCUUAAUUAAUGCCACCUUCCUAGGUGGAUAAAUUAAUAUCCCCAUUUCAUGGUUGAGGCAGCUGAGGCUCAGGGAGAUUAGUAAUUUGUCCAAGACCCCACGGCCAACGAGUGGUGCAACCCAGAGUGGCUGCUCCAAGGCUGCCAUCGGCCUGGGCAUCUGCCAAGGUGCUGCCUCUCCUGUGGCAGCCGCCAACCCCCAGCACCUGGAGAAAAUGUAGCAGGCUGGUGAGUGGGGUGGGGCGUGGGGCCAUGUGGCUCCCUCCAUGCAUGAAAAACCCGUGAGUGACAAAUGCGUAGGAAACAGUCCUUCUUGGCUGGCAGACUGUCACUGUCUGCAGAUUGCCUGGUAUUCACUUUCUUAGAAGUCUCAGGCCUCAGGGCGCUGAGGUUCUGCGUUGAUGCAGUGGCUCAGCUUUGCUGCUCUCUGUGCCCCGGGAAUUGCACACUUUGCACAUGUAUUUAUUUAACGCUUGUGGAAAUUCUUUGAGGAUUGAAGUCACUGGUAAUCCCUUCUGAGUGUGGCCUUUGGGGUGAAUCUGCUCCAGCUGUUUUCAACCUUGUUCCAAAGCCCUGCAGGGAGAGGCUGAGUUCUGGAGGGAGGCGGGAGCUGGGUGCAUCAGGGAUGGGUGUGGAGGGGCAGGUCUGGGGGAAGCCACUAUGGGGCUGGAGGCUGGGCAGCUCAGGGCUCCUCACCAUCCUCCCACCCAGCUCCUGCAGAUGCCUCCUUGGCAGGACUCCUGGGUGAGCUCAGGACCUAGUGGGGUCCAGGGAGGCCAGGGUUGUUUUCCAGUCUGCAAAGCCCAGCCUGAGGUCGGGGCUGAUGCCUGAGAUUCUGCUCAGCUGACCUUCUCCAAGGGGGCUGCAGCUGCUGAACCCCUGACAGGGCCUUGGGGGCCUCUCUGGUCUGACCAGCUCUGCACCCACCUUGCUCCAGCCCUUGGCUGUGCCUCAUCAGGACAAACUGCUGCUAUUUUCCGAGAUGUCCUUGGAUCUGUGGUCUUCUCACCCACACCCCUAUCCUGGCUGUGUGGAACCCUCUCCCCAUUUCUCACUGGGCCAGUUCCUCCUACUCCAGUUCGCUCAUGGAACAGUUACCAUCUACUGAAUGCUCACCGUAUAGUCAUGGGGUGCAGUGGGAGUAACACAGGCAGCUCCCUCCAGAGCCCAAACCCUCCAGUGCUCCCCACCCAGCCUGGUGCCACCUGCCGUAGGCAGGGCCAGGGCCAGCUCAUCUUCAUGCGCCGCAGAGAGCCUUGCUUGGAGCCCAACAGACCCUUCAUGAUGGCUUUUGUGUCAAAUGGGGCUAGUCCUCAGCAGGCAACCCCCUGUUCCCCAACAGCCACACUGCUCUAAGCGUGCUCCCUGCAACCAAGCUCUGCUGAGGGUCUAAAGGGAUGGCCAGGACCCAUCCCAGAUGCCCAAGUGAUCCAACAAGGCCCCUGUGGGAAGUGGGGCUGGGCAGGGCAUGCUUUUGCACCUGCAAACUCUGCGCAGCUGCGCCUUGGCAUCUCCCGCCUGAUUCCCGGCAGCUCACCCACCCCCCCCCCCCGAGUCUCCACUUUCUUCUCACGUGGACCUCUGGGUGUGGCGCGUGCAUGUGAGUCUGCACACGAGUGUGCGCUCCUGCAGCACCUAGGGUGAUGGCCAGGUAGCAAAACCUCCCAGGAGAGUGCAAGUGCCUUUGUUCAGCUUCUGCUCUGCUCACUACAAUUCAGUGUCUGUGUCCUAAUAGAGAAAUGCAGUUUUCCCUUCCUUCCAGCCGUCCUCUGAGGAAGAAAAAGCCCUUUUUCCUCUCCCUCCCUCCUGGCCAUUCCUCCCCUCCUAUGGUUAAUAGGCUGGUGGGUUACUUACUGCAAACACUGUUUCCCAACCAGAAUCAAUUCUCUUUGCUUUUCUCUAUUCCCAUUAAUUGUGAUUCAUAGGAACUUAAAAGGCUCUCAUAGCAGCAUUUAUAUUUGGAAACUGUAAAUCUCAGAAACUAACUUUCUCUUGGGAUACACACACACACACACUCCUCUCUCUCUGACCUGUGAACAGCACUUUAGAGAUUACAAAGCCUUUUCUUUUUUUUUUUUUUUUUUCUGAGACAGAGUUUCACUCUUGUUACCCAGGCUGGAGUGCAGUGGCGCGAUCUCAGCUCACCACAACCUCCGCCUUCUGGGUUCAGGCAAUUCUCCUGCCUCAGCCUCCUGAGUAGCUGGGAUUACAGGUAUGUGCCACCGUGCCCAGCUAAUUUUUUGUAUUUUUAGUAGAGACGGGGUUUCACCAUGUUGACCAGGAUGGUCUCGAUCUCUUGACCUCGUGAUCCACCUGCCUCGGCCUCCCAAAGUGCUGGGAUUACAGGCAUGAGCCACUGCGCCCGGCCUGAGAUUACAAAGUCUUUUCACAGUGACUGCCACAUGUGAGUGUCCCCCAGCCCCAGGAAGGGGCUAGGCAGCUGUUUCUCCCAUUUUCUAAAUAAGGAGAGAAAACCUCUUGCAUGUUGUGGCACAAGCUGGGGCAUAAGCCUUCCAAGUCCCUGCUUUUCUCCUCCUGCCCAGGAAACCCGGCCAAGAGUUAGCGGUGGGAUAGAGGGUUUCCAGCUGAUGACGGGAUCCAACCUGCUCCCCUCUUAGUUCCGUGAGUGCAGCCAGGAGCCUCUGGGAAUAUCACAGAGGGGCCCAUUUCAGAGCUAGGACUCUAUUGAAUGGACUUGAGGAAACGGCUCCUGCCGUGAGAAUUUGCAGAUGUAACCAGACCCUCCGCCGGCCCAGCCGACCGUGACAGGAUGCACGCCGCAUCCCCAGGGUGGUCCAGGUCCUUCAAGGACUGUCACAGCAUUUUGCACAGGGUGGAAGCAGGACUAGAGAGGUCCUGUGUUUUCUCUGAGGUCACACUACUGUUGCAUCUCAGCUCAGCCUUGGGGCCUGGGCCAGGUCUGCUCUGGAGCCCUUGCCCUUGACGUGCAUCUUGGUGAUCAGAGCACAGGGCUCUCCUCUGGCUGUCCUCUCCCACUCCUGCCUGGGCUGGUCUUUUUCUACUACAUGUGUGACGUGGUAAAAGCCCCAUAAAUCUGCAUACCUCAUCCAUACCUCAGCUUUCUGUAGAAACUGCUCUCUACAACCCAAAUGUGAAUAAGUAAUUAAGGACUGUGAUCCCCACCCUCCCCAGACAAUGUGUAAAGGAAUGCUAAUCUUAGCUUUUGUGAACCACCUAAGUAACAAUCAGAAUGUCAAAUAGUCCCCUGGCCCUCGGAAUGUCCGGAAGCCCCUCACCCUCAUCUCCGCCCAGAAGGUGAUUUACAGAAUCCACUAAGCCCUCGAAUUUCCUAUAUGAAUGACUUAAUAUAUGUGUAUAGUCAGGGUUCUCCAGGAAGCCCCUCACCCCCAUUCCCUCUCCUCACCCCCACUCCCAAGGUGGUUUUGCAGGUAUAAAAAGUCCUUGUCACCCUUCUUUCUCUGCCACGGGUUGGAGAGACGUGAGUCCUCCGUGGUCGCCGGCAGCAAACCCUGCAAUUUGGCAUACUUUUGUCUUGGUGUUGACUUUCUGUGCUCGGUCCAGUAUAACCCAUGGACAUUCUGGCUUGUGGAUUCCUUCCUGCAGCAGUCUUGCUCUGCUCAGAGCUCUCAGCCAGUCUUCUGCCUUCACAAAGCUCCUCUAUACAGCCGUAAGAGAUGGCAGCCCCUCCAGAGGGCCUCCCCACUCCGCUGGACUCUGGUCAACAUCAUGUGUGCUGCUCAUUGUCAUGCCUGUAUUCGCCCCCACUGUCUUUGCAGUGAGCUCCCGAUGGCAGGGCCUGAGCCCACCACCACCUGUCUACCUUUGUAGGGCUGUUUCCUCUAUGAAUGACUGAAUAUAUGUGUAUCAGUCAGGGUUCUCCAGAAAACCCUCUCUCUGUAGUGAGAGAUCUAUCUUAUACAUAGAGAGAAAUUUAUUUGAAGAAGUUGGCUCGGCUUGGCAUGGCGGCUCAUGCCUGUAAUCUCAGCACUUUUGGAGGCCAAGCAGGUGGAUUGUUUGAACUCAGGAGUUCCAGACAAGCCUGGGCAACAUGGUGAAACCCUCUCUCUACAAAAGACCCACAGAAAUCAUCGGGUGGGUGUCAUGCACCUGUAGUCCCAGCUACUUAGGAGGCUGAGGUGGGAGAAUCACCUGAGCUCAGAAGCUGGAAGCUGCAGGGAGCCAUGGCCAUGCUACGCCACACCAGCCUGGCUUACAGAGUGGGACCUGUUUCAGUCAGUCAGUCAAUCAUUAGUUUACAGGACUGUGGGGUUCAGCAUGUUGGGCCAGCUAGCAGGCUGGAAACUCAAGUAAGAGUUGAUGUUACAGUCUCGAGUGUGAAAUCUGCAUGCCGGAAACACAGGCAGGCUUCCUGCAUUGCAGUCUGGAGGCAGAAUUUCCCCUUCUUCAGGAAAACCCAGUCUUUGCUCUUAACUCCAGCUGAUUGGAUGGGGCCCACCUAUACAACGGACAGUAAUCACCGUACUGAAAAGCCACUGGUUUAAGUGCCAAGCACAUCUGAGAAAUGCCUUUCCCAUAACACCUGGACUGGUAUUUCACCAAAGAACUGAACACCAUGGCCCAGCCAAGUGUAACAUGAAACUUACCAUCUCAACAGAUGAAGCCGUUAGAAUACUGCUUGGUGAACAGAGCAUGCUCAAUAACUGUAGCAAUUAUUGGCCGGGCGCAGUGGCUCACGCCUGUAAUCCCAGCACUUUGGGAGGCCGAGGCGGGUGGAUUACGACGUCAAGAGAUCGAGUCCACCCUGCUCAACAUGGUGAAACCCCGUCUCUAGUAAAAAUACAAAAAAUUAGCUGGGUGUGAUGGCGCGUGCCUGUAAUCCCAGCUACUCAGGAGGCUGAGGCAGGAGAAUUGCCUGAACCCAGGAGGCGGAGGUUGCGGUGAGCUGAGAUCGCGCCAUUGCACUCCAGCCUGGGUAACAAGAGCGAAACUCCAUCUCAAAAAAAAAUUAAAAAAAUAAAUAAAUAAACUGUAGCAAUUAUUAGCUAUCAGCAAGCGAGUACUUAAUGUCUACUGAAUCACUUAAUAGACUUAAUAGACUUUUAAAGAGUUCAAAGAAUUAUUUUUUUGACAUUGAGAACCCGAUGCAAACUUCCCACGAUGCUGUGUGAUAUCUCAGAACAUCCGAGGACCCGUUGCACCACUGGGUUCUGUCUGGGUAAAGAAACUCACUAAGGUCCCCUGGUUUUCAUUUCUAUGAUUUCAUUAUUUUAUUAGGUCUUCUUAGGCAAAAAAAAAAAAAAAAAAAAAAAAAAAAAGUUAUCUGCCUUUUUGUAAUAAAGUAACACCUAGAAAGCUAUGCGACUAUGAGCACACUUGAGGAUUUCUGUUUGGAGCCAUUGUAUAUUCAUGCACUUUAAUUGGAAAGCGUGCAGUUACCUGGCUGGAGGUUUAUCGCAGCCGGCUUGAUGCAUCCCCCAGGAUUAUGAGCCAGGAAGGUUGCCUAGAGAAAGCCCAUUUUUACAGAAUGCAAUUUUUCAUGGUGUUUUUGUUUUCACAAAGAUAAAAUAAUUAUGGGAAAUGGACAGAGAGAUUCCUGGCUUUUUAUUUUCCUUUUCCAGGCUGGUUGUAGUAGACUCUUAAAAAUGUCAAAACAAAUCACCGAAUUUUGUUAUGUUUAUUAUACUUCUUACCAUAUUCAUUGAGUGAAAACACUUUGUUUUUAAACCUGAAGAAUUGCAUGGGUAAAUUUCCACAGCAGACGUUUACUAAGAAAGUAUGGUGCUGAUAUCUUCCAGAAGACUGGCUUUUGCCAGAUGACCCGUCAAUGGCACUUGGAGUUGGCAUGGCAAAAAUGGGCCUUGCUAACCAGUCAGAUGGUCCUUCAAAAUGCACAGAGGCGAUUUGGGAAUUAUUUAAUAUUGUUGGAAGCAUUGUGGCACGUAGAAUAAACAAAUGCUUGCUUAAAUUGAACAAAACUUAUUUUUUUACCAAUCAUUUGUGCAAAUUUCAUAAAUGUGUUUCAUACAUCUCAGUAACCGCCGCAUUCAGAUGAUGGUCCUUUUAUAUUCUGGUGGGAAUUCUGCUGAGGCUUGAACCAAAGAGGUUCGAAAUCUCUAACAACUAUAUACUUAUGUGAUAUAGCUGGCCUAGAGUUAGAACCAGUACAAUGCCAUUUUAAAAUGGGAAAACGGUUUCCAUUCUCCUCACAAUGACUACUAGCCAUGGCUUCUGUAAACUACUAAGAUUACCCUGCAAAAUGCAAAGAGAGGACAAGCUGCACACUUUCUCUUAUCUGUAACUGCCAGAAUUGCUGGCCUUUGUUUACCAAAGUAAGCACCCCCAGAUAAUUCCAUCCUGGCGCCAAGUAACCUAAAAUUAUGUGGACCCCACACCUGUCCAAAUAAUGUAUAAACUGAUGUUUACCUUGACCUCUGUAAACCACUUAGGAGGCAAUCGGAAUGACAAAAGUCCCCUGGCCCUUGGAAUAUCUGGAGCCCCCUCACCCUCCUCUCAGCCUAGGAGGUGAUUGACAGCUUUCAUUCCCAUCUCCGUUCCUCACCCCCACUCUCAAGGUGGUUUUGUGGGUAUAAAAAGGUCUUGUCACUCUUCUUUCUCUGCCACGGGUUGGAGAGACGUGAGUCCCCCGUGGUCGCCGGCAAUAAACCCUGCAAUUUGGCAUCCUUUUGUUCUGGUGUUGACUUUCUGUGCUGAGUGAGAUAUAACACUUGUAUUAAGUAGUGGAACUUUCGUGUCUAUUGUGCAUUCUGUAAAUAUGUCUUUAAUGUAAUUUACUGAAGCACAGCCUAACCAUGGCAGAGUGUACGCGGGGCCAGACAUACUGAGCAGAUGCCCUGCUUUUUCUCAUCUGUUAAUUUCAUUAUGCGUUAAUAUGUGUACACUUAUAAGAAACCUCAAAUCACUUGGUUUUGCUUUGUUUUGAGGAGUCUUGCUCUCUCUCCAGGCUGGAGUGCAGUGGUGUGAUCUCCACUCACUGCAACCUCUGCCUCCCAGGCUCAAAUGAUUCUCCUGCCUCAGCUUCCCAAGUAGCUGGGACUGCAGGUGUGCACCACCACGCCCCACUCAUUUUUGUAUUUUUAGUGGAGAUGGGGUUUCACCAUGUUGGCCAGGAUGGUCCCAAUCCCUUGACCUUGUGAUCCACCCACCUCAGUCUCCCAAAGUGCUGGGAUUACAGGCGUGAGCCACCGUGCCUGGACCCUCAAAUCACUUUUAUAAAGGGUUGAUGUUACCUAAACAAUA